CCAGACAGCCAGGAUGUUGGCUUAGAAGCAGCCAUCAUUUAAAGAAAGCGUAAUAGCUCACUGGUCGAGUCGGCCUGCGCGGAAGAUGUAACGGGGCUAAACCAUGCACCGAAGCUGCGGCAGCGACACUUAUGUGUUGUUGGGUAGGGGAGCGUUCUGUAAGCCUGUGAAGGUGUACUGUGAGGUAUGCUGGAGGUAUCAGAAGUGCGAAUGCUGACAUAAGUAACGAUAAAGCGGGUGAAAAGCCCGCUCGCCGGAAGACCAAGGGUUCCUGUCCAACGUUAAUCGGGGCAGGGUGAGUCGACCCCUAAGGCGAGGCCGAAAGGCGUAGUCGAUGGGAAACAGGUUAAUAUUCCUGUACUUGGUGUUACUGCGAAGGGGGGACGGAGAAGGCUAUGUUGGCCGGGCGACGGUUGUCCCGGUUUAAGCGUGUAGGCUGGUUUUCCAGGCAAAUCCGGAAAAUCAAGGCUGAGGCGUGAUGACGAGGCACUACGGUGCUGAAGCAACAAAUGCCCUGCUUCCAGGAAAAGCCUCUAAGCAUCAGGUAACAUCAAAUCGUACCCCAAACCGACACAGGUGGUCAGGUAGAGAAUACCAAGGCGCUUGAGAGAACUCGGGUGAAGGAACUAGGCAAAAUGGUGCCGUAACUUCGGGAGAAGGCACGCUGAUAUGUAG
rnacentral:rRNA from 1 species